rnacentral:misc_RNA from 1 species
AAGUCGUAACAAGGUUUCCGUAGGUGAACCUGCGGAAGGAUCAUUAACACGUGUUCCACGUAUCAACCUUUGUGCAUUUGUUCUGUUCUUUAUAGGGUGGUCGCUCCAAUCUCCUUUGAAAAAAGGAGUCUGGUUUGGUCGUCCUGUUAACUGGCACUGUUAACCACGUUCCUCACGGAAGGUGUUGUUAAUCCUUUUAACAAAUCUUUUAUAUAAUUUUUCACCCUUUUUACUAACUUGUACUAAACUAUUUGAUGCGAUUAAUGGGGAGUGUGGUUCCGGUGAUUCGGGCCCCAUUUCCUGUGAGUCAAAUCAUUUCUCUAUAUAACUAUAGAACAACUCUUAGCAACGGAUAUCUUGGUUCUC